GAGAGAUGGCUGAGUGGGUUGAUAGCCCCGGUCUUGAAAACUGGGUAUAGUUUCUU
rnacentral:tRNA from 1 species